GUGGUAGCUUUGGGCCCAAUCCCACCAACGCUUCCUUCUCCUUCCUUCGUUGAUGUCACCUUAGUACGAAGCCAUGGAAGCCACCAGCAACCCCAGCGCCUUAACCCUAGCCUCGCAUCUCUCCCCUCUUCUCCCCUCUUACCACAGUCGGGGCGAGGCCCCAGAGCUCCACCACGCCAUGGCCGGCUCCGGCAAGAGCUCGAGGCCGUGGUAAUCCGACAUCCUCGACCCUCCCCUGCAGAAUCAGGAGCCGGCGGACGAACAUGGGGUUCCAUUUUCGUGGAGAAGUGCCACCAAGGUCGACCACCUCGACGUCCACGACGACCGAGGCUUCUUCACGUCCAGCGAGCCUUCCUGAAGCGGAUCCACGACGGGAGAUCCUGUCCAUCGCGCAUGGAUGCCCCCUCUUCUCUCCCUCUUAGAUCCGUCUUUCGUCGUCAAGGAGCUGGAGUGUUCGCGGGCUAGAGGAGUAACCUAGUUCGAUCCGUGUGGAUUGGAGCCCACAAAGACCAUGCUGCCUUAGAUAGAGAUUUUCCGCUGCCUUCACCCUUGUAAUAUCCCAUGUAAGGUCCUUAUAUCUAUUAAUAGAAAUGCAUGUGUUCAUGAUACUUGUUGUAAACGCGCAUACCAGAGUAAUUUCAUGGGCUGGUAUGUGUGGCGACCGUCUGCCUACAGUGGUAAUCAGGCGGGGCGCCAGAGUGCCUGAAGAUCAGGAACAGUUCCACUCUGAAAAAAUCACACGCAAGAUGAUCAUGACCUUGA